GGCGUGUGGUGUGAGACGCAGGGCCAUGUUACCCUAUGUGGCGUGCAGCGCGAGUCGGAGGCUGGCCCCGGCUUUGGGGAUCCUGGGGGCCCGGCAGAAGCACAGCCUCCCGGACUUGACCUACGACUAUGGGGCCCUGGAGCCUCACAUUAACGCCCGGAUCAUGGAGCUGCACCACAGCAAGCACCAUGCAACCUCUGUGAACAACUUGAACGCCACCGAGGAGAAGUACCAGGAGGCGCUGGCCAAGGGAGACGUUACGACUCAGGUAGCACUUCAGCCUGCCCUGAAGUUCAAUGGUGGAGGUCAUAUCAAUCACAGCAUUUUCUGGACGAACCUGAGCCCUAAUGGUGGUGGAGAACCCAAAGGGGAAUUACUGGAAGCCAUCAAACGUGACUUUGGUUCCUUUGAGAAGUUUAAGGAGAAGCUGACAGCUGUAUCCGUUGGAUUUUAUAAAGAUUAG